rnacentral:sRNA from 14 species
GAGAAAGCGUUGCCGCAGGCAACGACCCGAAGGGCGAAGCGCGCAGCGCUGAGUCAUCCUUCCCCCACCACCA